rnacentral:misc_RNA from 1 species
GAAAUGCGAUAAGUAAUGUGAAUUGCAGAAUUCAGUGAAUCAUCGAAUCUUUGAACGCACCUUGCGCUCCUUGGUAUUCCUUGGAGCAUGCCUGUUUGAGUAUCAUGAAAUCUUCAAAGUAAAUCUUUUGUUAACUCAAUUGGUUUCUACUUUGGUAUUGGAGGUCUUUGCAGCUUCACACCUGCUCCUCUUUGUUCAUUAGCUGGAUCUCAGUGUUAUGCUUGGUUCCACUCGGCGUGAUAAGUUAUCUAUCGCUGAGGACACUGUAAAAGGUGGCCAAGGUAAAUGCAGAUGAACCGCUUCUAAUAGUCCAUUGACUUGGACAAUACUUUUAUGAUCUGAACUCAAAUCAGGUAGGACUACCCGCUGAACUUAAGC